rnacentral:rRNA from 1 species
UACGUAGGUGGCAAGCGUUGUCCGGAAUUAUUGGGCGUAAAGCGCGCGCAGGCGGUCUUUUAAGUCUGAUGUGAAAGCCCACGGCUCAACCGUGGAGGGUCAUUGGAAACUGGGGGACUUGAGUGCAGAAGAGGAAAGUGGAAUUCCAAGUGUAGCGGUGAAAUGCGUAGAGAUUUGGAGGAACACCAGUGGCGAAGGCGACUUUCUGGUCUGAACUGACGCUGAGGCGCGAAAGCGUGGGGAGCAACAGG